AAUCAACGCUGGCGGCGUGCCUCAGACAUGCAAGUCGAACGCGAAAGUCCCCUUCGGGGGAUGAUUAGAGUGGCGCACGGGUGAGUAACACGUAGGUAAUCUACCUUCGAGUGGGGAAUAACUCAGGGAAACUUGAGCUAAUACCGCAUAAUGCAGCGGCACCACAUGGUGACAGUUGUUAAAGCAUUUAUGCGCUUGAAGAGGAGCCUGCGGCGGANGAGCUAGUUGGUAAGGUAAUGGCUUACCAAGGCUACGAUCUGUAACCGGCCUGAGAGGGCGGACGGUCACACUGACACUGAAUAACGGGUCAGACUCCUACGGGAGGCAGCAGUCGGGAAUUUU
rnacentral:rRNA from 1 species